rnacentral:lncRNA from 1 species
GGGAGGGACUGUGGCGAGAGGACCAGGAGGGGUGCAGUGUUUGGGAUGUAAAUACAUAAAUAAAUAUUAAAAAUCAGGUGGUCUUUAGCUAUGCAGACCCUAUCCCUGGCUUCCCUCUUUCCAUGUUUAUCUAUCAUUAUACACUAACUGUGGAUGUGCUGUGGCCGGCAGUUUGAAGUUCCUGUCUUGACUGCACUACAGUGAUGGAUAAUGACCUGGAAUGGAAAACUGAAAUAAUUCACAUUUCUCCACCAGGUUGCUUUUGGUUGAUGUAUUUUACACAGCAGCAGAAAUGAAGUUGGGGGACGCUAACUCCCACUCUGGGCUCCUGUGACUGGGAGAAGUGAUCCUGUUUGGAGAGCGAUCUGACCAGGGAUGACCUGACCUGAGGGCUUGUUGCUUAGCAGUGGUCCUCAGAGGAUGUUUACCAACCAGACCCACGGUUCCUGGCAUGUGAGGCGACAGAAGAGAGUCACUUCAUUUAUGGGAGUGGAGCAGCAAGGAUUGACCUCCGUAAAACCCCUGGCAGGAGGAGACCCCCGG